rnacentral:lncRNA from 10 species
CUCUUUCUCCCUCAGCCUACCUAAAUAGACACACGUCACCAGUGUCAGCUGUUUUGCUUUAUUGUAAGUGUAGAUUUCUGGUAGGUGUAGAUAGUGUUGUGGACCGUAGAGCUGGAGGAAGCCUGGAAGACUACAGAAAGAGGACAAGGGAAAUCCGGACACAGACAUGCGCAGAGGGAGAAGGCUAUGUGAGGAAGAAGGCAGUGGUUGGAGUGAUGAUUCUCCAAGCCUAGGAAGGCCAGUGACUGGCAGCAAAGCACCAGAAACGAGGGGAAGAAACAUGGAACCGAUUCCUUCUCAGGCCUCAGGAGGAACCAACCCAGACGAACCUUGAUCUCAGGCUCUAGCCUCUGUUGCAAUAAAACAUUUUAUUGUUGA